CAGCCGUAAACUAUGCGCGUUAGGUGUACUGGUGACCACGAGUCACCGGGGUGCCGAAGGGAAACCGUGAAACGUGCCGCCUGGGAAGUACGGUCGCAAGGCUGAAACUUAAAGGAAUUGGCGGGGGAGCACCACAACGGGUGGAGUCUGCGGUUUAAUUGGAUUCAACGCCGGAAAUCUUACCGGGACCGACAGCAACAUGAAGGCCAAGCUGAAGACUUUGCCGGAUUAGCUGAGAGGAGGUGCAUGGCGUAGUCGUGU
rnacentral:rRNA from 1 species